AGGAGGAAUGAAAGAAGAUUGAGGUGGAGAAGGAGGAGGAUCCAUCACAGUAAUGGUAAUAUUUUCGAUCGCCGGAAACACGAGCUAUCUUAAGCGCCACCCUCCACCACCGUCACCGCCACCGUUCAGUGUCACUGCCAAACUGGAGUGGUGGAAUGUUACAGUUCGGUGUCAUUGUUGUUUGUAAAAUUGUGAAUUUUUAUUUUUU
rnacentral:lncRNA from 1 species